CUGGGGAAGACUUUAGAGCAAUCACCGGAACAGCCAGAGGAUGAACAGCAGCAAAGAGCUUGGCUUGUCAGGCUAGGACAACAGUAUAUCCAAAUACUGCCAAAUGCCUGGGAGCAACUGAAGAAAUCAGAACUGAAUCUCCUGAUGCAAAUACCAAUGGAGGGAGAAGACCAGAGUGACACCAGGAAGGGGACCCAGGGCGAGUUGUGGGAUGCUAAUAUAAUGUUUCUUCAUUUUGG
rnacentral:lncRNA from 1 species